rnacentral:rRNA from 1 species
UACAGAGGUCUCAAGCGUUGUUCGGAUUCAUUGGGCGUAAAGGGCGCGUAGGCGGCGCGGUAAGUCACUUGUGAAAUCUCUGAGCUUAACUCAGAACGGCCAAGUGAUACUGCAGUGCUAGAGUGUGGAAGGGGCAAUCGGAAUUCUUGGUGUAGCGGUGAAAUGCGUAGAUAUCGAGAGGAACACCUGCGGCGAAGGCGGGUCUCUGGGCCGAUACUGACGCUGAGGAGCGAAAGCGUGGGGGAGCGAACAGG